rnacentral:rRNA from 1 species
UGGGGAAUAUUGGACAAUGGGCGCAAGCCUGAUCCAGCAACGCCGCGUGAGUGAUAAGGCCUUCGGGUUGUAAAACUCUUUUAGUAGGGAAGAUUAUGACGGUACCUACAGAAAAAGCUCCGGCUAACUUCGUGCCAGCAGCCGCGGUAAUACGAAGGGAGCUAGCGUUACUCGGAAUUAUUGGGCGUAAAGCGUGCGUAGGUUGUACAGUAAGUUAGAAGUGAAAUCCUCAGGCUUAACCUGAGAAUUGCUUUUAAUACUGCAGUACUUGAGUAUCAGAGGGGAUAGCGGAAUUCCUAGUGUAGAGGUUAAAUUCGUAGAUAUUAGGAGGAACACCGGUGGCGAAAGCGGCUAUCUGGCUGAAUACUGACGCUGUUGCACGAAAGCGUGGGGAGCAAACAGG